UACGUAGGGGGCAAGCGUUGUCCGGAUUUAUGGGCGUAAAGCGCGUGUAGGCGGCCAGGUAGGUCUGCUGUGAAAACUCGAGGCUCACCUCGAGCGGUCGGCGGAAACCAUCUGGCUAGAGUCCGGAAGAGGAGAGUGGAAUUCCUGGUGUAGCGGUGAAAUGCGCAGAUAUCAGGAAGAACACCCGUGGCGAAGGCGGCUCUCUGGGACGGUACUGACGCUGAGACGCGAAAGCGUGGG
rnacentral:rRNA from 1 species